rnacentral:rRNA from 1 species
UACGUAGGGUGCAAGCGUUUGUCCGGAAUUAUUGGGCGUAAAGAGCUCGUAGGCGGUUUGUUGCGUCGGCUGUGAAAUCCCCGAGGCUCAACCUCGGGUCUGCAGUCGAUACGAGCAAACUAGAGUGUUGCAGGGGAGAAUGGAAUUCCCGGUGUAGCGGUGAAAUGCGCAGAUAUCGGGAAGAACACCCGUGGCGAAGGCGGUUCUCUGGGACGGUACUGACGCUGAGACGCGAAAGCGUGGGGAGCGAACAGG